rnacentral:lncRNA from 1 species
CUCGAUCGUCAUCCUACGGCUUCCUCAGCGCCGACGACAAGUCGGCAGGGUCCUCCGGCAACGCUGCCGGUGCCCGCUCAUCUACGGAUCGGCGGGCAAGUCCAUGUCCAGGCGCCCACCGGAGUGUGGAGGAGGUUUGAUCGGCGACGGGUAGACGAUCGGCGGGUUCCACGGGGUUUGCGGCGUCGGGUAGAUUAUCGGGGCUUCCCAUUUGCCAUGACCAGGAUGCUUGCGCACCGCCUCCGACACCGUGGAGGAGAGCAUCAGCGGCAGCAGCAUGAGGAGGAGCGCCGCCGUGGCGGCCGGCGUCGUCGUCGUCGCGUUGCUCUUGUGCCCGGCCGCCGCCAUUGUCGGUAGCAGCUGGCUUAGCCUGAGCUUCUUUCGAUCGAUCGAUGCUUCUUGGAUGAGUUGUGC